GCCAGAUUAGCCAAAUUGUCAGUUUUCCUUGAUUGUGCAAUAUUUCAGUGGAUUUUGUGUUUGGUGAGGGAUGAAAUGCACAGUAAUCUUAGAUAUUAUUUAUUACGUAAGGUCCAUGUUAGGGUCAACGUUUGGGUAUUGUUUCCUGUCUGAUCCUCUGUAAUUGCUCACAAUUCUCCUUUUCCAUAGAUCGCUUGAAUUUUAAUAUAUUCUCUGUUUUUUCCUUUCUUUUUAGUACAAUUAUGGAUUUGUAGUUGAGCGAAGUGCUGCAGUACGUUAGGUGAAUUCAUGUCCUACUCACUGAUGGAUUCCUGCGGGAAAUGAAGUAGUUGAUCUCUGUAAAGACUUCUUUAUCUGGAUGAUUUCUUUAAACGAGGAACACUGACCCAUUCAGACAUUCUCCAUGUAACCCAAACGUGACCUUUAGUUUAUACAGGUUAUAAUGCUAAAGGGACGCAGGAAGGGUGCUCAUUGGUGGCCUGAUUGGGUUCUUCUGCUUGUUGAAUAUAUUUGUUUUCCUAUGACACUAAGCUGACGUUUUAUGCAGAUUGAUGUUUUUCUUCAGUUGAAGGACCAAAAAACAUUAAUGCGUCAUAUUUUAUUAGCUAUUGUAAUAGCCCUGUGCCUUACAAGUCACAUAUUUCUUACCUAUUGCUAGCGAGAAUUAUCUAUAAAUAUUAAUAAUUAAUGUGAGCUGUGCCAUAUACAAUUGUGUGAUUUUAAAAUUCGAUUUUCGUCUUUUAUCUUUUUAAUUUAUUCGGAUCAGAGUCUCAAGCUGUACCUCCAUCCCCACAAGGAUUUUUUCUUAAGCUUUUUAAAAGUUAAUGAAAUAAUCGUAAUAAUUAAUAUACGACAAAAUGUGUACAGCUUGUUUAUAAAGGUAAGGGCUUGCCCUCAGCAUUCAGAGUCCUGGAAUCCGCAAUGAAUGUCUACUGAAGGGGCUUUUUCAUUCAGUGUCUCAGAUCUUAUAAACGGUUCCCACCAGCCUCCUCUGCCUCCAUUUCGUCCACUGAAGAGUGAUCUUUUAUGUUCAUCAAUAAAGGUUACUUUUUGAGAAGGUCUCGCUUCUGUU